rnacentral:rRNA from 1 species
AUUGAACGCUGGCGGCAUGCCUUACACAUGCAAGUCGAACGGCAGCACGGGAGCAAUCCUGGUGGCGAGUGGCGAACGGGUGAGUAAAGUAUCGGAACGUGCCCAGUCGUGGGGGAUAACGUAGCGAAAGUUACGCUAAUACCGCAUACGAUCUAUGGGUGAAAGCGGGGGAUCGCAAGACCUCGCGCGAUUGGAGCGGCCGAUAUCAGAUUAGGUAGUUGGUGGGGUAAAGGCUCACCAAGCCGACGAGCUGCAGCUGGUCUGAGAGGACGACCAGCCACACUGGGACUGAGACACGGCCCAGACUCCUACGGGAGGCAGCAGUGGGGAAUUUUGGACAAUGGGCGAAAGCCUGAUCCAGCCAUGCCGCGUGCAGGAUGAAGGCCUUCGGGUUGUAAACUGCUUUUGUACGGAACGAAAAGGUUUGGCCUAAUAAGCUGAGCUCAUGACGGUACCGUAAGAAUAAGCACCGGCUAACUACGUGCCAGCCGCCGCCGUAA